AGUACCAAGACAUUCAAGACAUGCUAAACUCAUAAUAAUUCUUGUCCUUUACCUCUAUGCAAAACUUUGUUUCCUAAAUUUUCACCCAACACUGUAUCAUUAUUUAUUUUUAUCUGCAGCGUAUGGUAACGAUUCCUUAAGACUCACCGUGGUGACUUCAAAGAAAAACUUACAUUCAAUACAAAGUCCUGUGCUUGAGACAGGAACAAGACAAUAAUCUAUAUGGAUACUACGUCUGUGAGCACAUGAACAAUUUUAUGCAUGACAAGAUAUGAAAUAUUCAAGAAAGACUCUUGGAGGAGAGAAUUUUGGUAAUAUGUGAAGGUCUCAUAGAAAUUCUGGUGGAUGAGGUAAUAAAUCCCGUGGGAGAAUUUUAUUAUGACAGACAUUCAAUAGUUACACCAAGAAACACCACGACGAGAUGAUCCUAAGA